GAUGAACGCUAGCGACAGGCCUAACACAUGCAAGUCGAGGGGCAGCGAGGAUAUAGCAAUACAUUUGUCGGCGACCGGCGCACGGGUGAGUAACGCGUAUGCAACCUACCCGACACAGGGGGAUAACCCGAAGAAAUUCGGACUAAUACCGCAUAAAACAGGGGUCCCGCAUGGGAAUAUUUGUUAAAGAAUUAUCGGUGUCGGAUGGGCAUGCGUUCCAUUAGCUUGUUGGUGAGGUAACGGCUCACCAAGGCGACGAUGGAUAGGGGUUCUGAGAGGAAGGUCCCCCACACUGGUACUGAGACACGGACCAGACUCCUACGGGAGGCAGCAGUGAGGAAUAUUGGUCAAUGGGCGAAAGCCUGAACCAGCCAAGUCGCGUGAAGGACGACGGUCCUAUGGAUUGUAAACUUCUUUUGUCGGGGAGUAAAGGCAGUUACGUGUAGCUGUUUGCAAGUACCCGAAGAAAAAGCAUCGGCUAACUCCGUGCCAGCAGCCGCCGUAAAAC
rnacentral:rRNA from 1 species